rnacentral:rRNA from 1 species
GCGUGUAGCAGUGAAAUGCGUAGAUAUGCGGAGGAACACCGAUGGCGAAGGCAGCCCCCUGGGAUAAUACUGACGCUCAUGCACGAAAGCGUGGGGAGCAAACAGGAUUAGAUACCCUGGUAGUCCACGCCCUAAACGAUGUCAACUAGCUGUUGGGGCCUUCGGGCUUUAGUAGCGCAGCUAACGCGUGAAGUUGACCGCCUGGGGAGUACGGUCGCAAGAUUAAAACUCAAAGGAAUUGACGGGGACCCGCACAAGCGGUGGAUGAUGUGGAUUAAUUCGAUGCAACGCGAAAAACCUUACCUACCCUUGACAUGUCUGGAAUCCCGAAGAGAUUUGGGAGUGCUCGCAAGAGAACUGGAACACAGGUGCUGCAUGGCUGUCGUCAGCU